rnacentral:rRNA from 1 species
GGAGAGGAGAGUGGAAUUCCUAGUGUAGCGGUGAAAUGCGUAGAUAUUAGGAGGAACACCAGUUGCGAAGGCGGCUCGCUGGACUGUAACUGACGCUGAGGCACGAAAGCGUGGGGAGCAAACAGGAGUAGAUACCCUGGUAGUCCACGCUGUAAACGAUGAGUACUAGGUGUCGGGGGUUACCCCCCUCGGUGCCGCAGCUAACGCAUUAAGUACUCCGCCUGGGAAGUACGCUCGCACGAGUGAAACUCAAAG